GGUGAACGCUGGCGGCGUGCCUAAUACAUGCAAGUCGAGCGAACAGAUGAGGAGCUUGCUCCUCUGACGUUAGCGGCGGACGGGUGAGUAACACGUGGAUAACCUACCUAUAAGACUGGGAUAACUUCGUGAAACCGGAGCUAAUACCGGAUAAUAUAUUGAACCGCAUGGUUCAAUAGUGAAAGACGGUUUUGCUGUCACUUAUAGAUGGAUCCGCGCCGCAUUAGCUAGUUGGUAAGGUAACGGCUUACCAAGGCAACGAUGCGUAGCUGACCUGAGAGGGUGAUCGGCCACACUGGAACUGAGACACGGUCCAGACUCCUACGGGAGGCAGCAGUAGGGAAUCUUCCGCAAUGGGCGAAAGCCUGACGGAGCAACGCCGCGUGAGUGAUGAAGGUCUUCGGAUCGUAAAACUCUGUUAUUAGGGAAGAACAAAUGUGUAAGUAACUAUGCACGUCUUGACGGUACCUAAUCAGAAAGCCACGGCUAACUACGUG
rnacentral:rRNA from 1 species